rnacentral:lncRNA from 1 species
GAGUUAGAAAAACAGAAAAGAACAAGUGGGCCAUGCCCCAGCCUCAGCAAGCAACAAAACUCCCGCAGCUUUGGCUACGUGACUUUGGCUUUGGCUUUAGAGUCAAGAAUAGAGGGGACAGCUGGGACAAUUAUGCUGGUUAGCUGGAGCUAAGAAAUGAGCAAUGAUUAAGAAGAGACCAGCAUCACUGAGGUGAAAUCUGGGAAGCAUUUUCCGACAGCACAAAGAAGCUGUGUUCCAGAGAUAGACCCUCCUCCUGGCUGCCUGCAGAAGACAGUCUCCUUCCCACUCUGUGGAUCAAGAAGUAGAACUCCCAGGUCCUUCUCCAGCACCAUGCCUGUGUGCACAAUGCCAUGCUUCCUCCUAUGACGAUGAUGGACUGACUGAACCUCUGAAACUGUGCCUGUGCCCCAUGUGCAUGCAGUACCUAUACAGGCCAGGAGAGGGCGGGAGAUCCUCUGCAACUGGAGUCACAUGCGUGAGCUUCCAUGCCGGUGCCGGGAAUCGAAUCCUUUACUAGCAGCCCUGUGCUCUCUGAACGAGUGAGGCAUCUCCCUAGCCCCAGCUAUAAAUUUCUUUGUAAAACAAAAAUACAGACAGCGCCAUCUCUACAGCCCUGGCUUGGGUUGUUUCUAUCCGUGUGCCGUCUGGGAAGACAUUUGGAGACGGGGAUUUGGGGACUACACCUUCCUUGUUUAAUGACCGAGGACUGGGAUGGAUGACGGGGGUUCAAAAACCAAACAGUGGCACUGAAAUUACAUUUUCAGACGCACUUUUCUCGUAGUAGCUUCCCAUCCCAAGUUUGCAACCAUUGCGAAGUCCUAACAACCCGUCUGGAAGAGGAAACCGUCCAAAGCAAGAAAAGAGCCUGCCCAAGGGAGGAAGGCUAAGCGGUUCAUCAGAAAGGUUCUCCAGUGUGUUUGUUCUCAGGCUACUUGUCUGUCUGUUGCAUUCUCUGUGUUGGUCCCGUGGGAUGAGCUCAGCCGGCCGGCCGCGGCAGCAACCCCUGGAAAACAGACAGCUGCAGUGGGUGGAGCCCUAGCAACAAGGGGUUAUCUGAAAGCUCCCAUCGGGCCAGGAGAAAGCAGAACAGGAGACAACGGGACAGCAGGGUAGAUAACCCAGACUGAAAAGGUGCAGAAGACCAUCCAUGUAAGAGAAACCACGGACCCAGAGAGCUGUCAAACUUCAAAGACCAAGAGUCCCGGCCCUGGUGCUUGCUGAGAGCCCAAAGGCAGGCAGGCUGGCUAGACAUGCUGUAGAGCUGGGUAGCCCUUUCUUACGUGCUUUCCUAGUUUCCUUUCUGUUGCUGUGAUAAAACAUCCUGACCAAGAGCAACGUUUGGAGAGAAACCGGGCUUAUUUGGCUUAUACUUCUGGGGUCUUAGUCCUGUCAACUGAGAGGAAGUAAACAAACCAACUCAAAGCCUCUUGCCCACCCCAGUUAAAAGCCGGGAGCAGAAUGUCUGCCUGCUUGCUUAGCUAGCAUUCUUCCUAGUUCAGGGGCUUAUUUAUUAACAAGACAAUACCGCACGGACAUGCCCACAGGUCAACCUCAUGUACCUUAUUGCUUCCCAGAUGAUUCUAGGUAACAAGCAGUUGAUACUUGAAAUUGACCGGCAUGGGGAAGCUGGCCUCCCAAUACCC